AACAAGGCGUACCUGCGGACCUGCGGAAGGAUCAUUACCGAGUGCGGGUCUUUAUGGCCCAACCUCCCACCCGUGACUAUUGUACCUUGUUGCUUCGGCGGGCCCGCCAGCGUUGCUGGCCGCCGGGGGGCGUCUCGCCCCCGGGCCCGUGCCCGCCGGAGACCCCAACAUGAACCCUGUUCUGAAAGCUUGCAGUCUGAGUGUGAUUCUUUGCAAUCUGUUAAAACUUUCAACAACGGA
rnacentral:misc_RNA from 1 species